rnacentral:snoRNA from 1 species
GGGCAUCUUAAAACUCCGGGAGACCCAUGGGGGCCCAGUGUGCAAUGGCUGCAAACAGCAGCCUCCUUGGUAGUGUAUGCAACCUGUUGCCUGUACAGGUAGCCCUAAGGGACCUUGGAGACAACU